UACGGAGGGUGCGAGCGUUGUCCGGAAUCACUGGGCGUAAAGGGCGCGUAGGCGGUUCGUUAAGUUGCUGGUGAAAUCCCGGGGCUCAACUCCGGGGCUGCCAGUAAGACUGGCGGGCUAGAGCACGGUAGAGGCAGAUGGAAUUCCCGGUGUAGCGGUGGAAUGCGUAGAUAUCGGGAAGAAUACCGGUGGCGAAGGCGUUCUGCUGGGCCGUUGCUGACGCUGAGGCGCGACAGCGUGGUGAGCAAACAGG
rnacentral:rRNA from 1 species